rnacentral:tRNA from 1 species
AUACGCCUCACCAUCAACACCCAAAGCUGAAAUUCUACAUAAACUACUCCCUG